rnacentral:rRNA from 1 species
AUUGAACGCUGGCGGCAUGCUUUACACAUGCAAGUCGGACGAGUGGCGAACGGGUGAGUAACGCAUCGGAACGUACCGAGUAAUGGGGGAUAACUGCCCGAAACGACAGCUAAUACCGCAUACUAUUCGAUCGGCCGAGGUCGGAUUAGCUGGUUGGCGGGGUAAAGGCCCACCAAGGCGACGAUCAGUAGCGGGUCUGAGAGGAUGACCCGCAAGCCUGGGACUGAGAAACGGGCCAGACUCCCACGGGAGGCAGGAGUGGGGAAUAUUGGACAAUGGGCGCAAGCCUGAUCCAGCCAUGCCGCGUGUCUGAAGAAGGCCUUCGGGUUGUAAAGGACUUUUAGCAGGGAGGCGGUACCUGAAGAAUAAGCACCGGCUAACUACGUGCCAGCAGCCGCGGUAAUAC